AGUGAACGCUGGCGGCAUGCCUAACACAUGCAAGUCGAACGGUAACAGGCCCGCAAGGGUGCUGACGAGUGGCGGACGGGUGAGGAAUACAUCGGAAUUUGCCCAGUCGUGGGGGAUAACGUAGGGAAGCUUACGCUAAUACCGCAUACGACCUAACGGUGAAAGCGGGGGAUCGCAAGACCUCGCGCGGAUGGAUAAGCCGAUGUCGGAUUAGCUAGUUGGCGGGGUAAAGCCCACCAAGGCGACGAUCCGUAGCUGGUCUGAGAGGAUGAUCAGCCACACUGGGACUGAGACACGGCCCAGACUCCUACGGGAGGCAGCAGUUAGGAAUUUUGGGCAAUGGGCGCAAGCCUGACCCAGCAACGCCGCGUGGGUGACGAAGGCCU
rnacentral:rRNA from 1 species